rnacentral:rRNA from 1 species
GACGAACCGUCCAAACGUUAUUCGGAAUCACUGGGCUUACAGAGUUCGUAGGCGGUCUGGAAAGUUGGGGGUGAAAUCCCUCGGCUCAACCGAGGAACUGCGCUUGAAACUACCAGACUCGAGGGAGAUAGAGGAAAGCGGAACUGAUGGUGGAGCGGUGAAAUGCGUUGAUAUCAUCAGGAACACCGGUGGCGAAGGCGGCUUUCUGGGUCUUACCUGACGCUGAGGAACGAAAGCUAGGGGAGCGAACGGG